GCCGCUCGCGCCCGACCGGACGGGCACCGGCCUCUUAAGCCGGAGUGAAGAGGUUCAAGUCCUCUGGGCGGUA
rnacentral:tRNA from 1 species